GACUUCAUCAGGCACUGCUAUCAUGGGGCACUGGUAACAAAUAAAUAUCACUUUGGAGGCCAUGUGCAGAUCAGAUUUGGAAGUGACCAAGACUGGAGGCAGGGACACCAGAGUUUUCUGUUAAAAACUGGUCCAUGCAAGAAAAGAUGACUCCUGAAAUAAGACAGUGAUCAUUAGGAUGAAGAGGAAGAGAAGAUUUGAGGAAUACUUAGAACAGAAUUUACUGAAUUUACUGGUUGAAUUGAAUGUGAAGAGGAGAUGAAUAAAGAAGAAAACACCCUCAAAGGAAAUCAAGGGAUUUCUCCUCAUUAGAAGGAAUUGCCCUAGGAGUAAGAAUUUAUCCCUUUCCACUUUCAGAGUCCCCUCUGAGCAUACACUAUACAGCAAACAUUGGAUGAAGAAUGUGUAUUUUCAGUUUCAGAAGCUGGAACCCUGAGCAGAACACAUGCACAAACUCAUGCCAUACCCUAAGGGACAAGGUUCCCCACAUCUACUUGGAAAUCUUUGGGAUGCUCAAUGGACAGUUGCUCUGAUUCAUUUCUGGACUUCAGUGGAAGAAGCAGCCCUUAUUUAGGAUAUUGUUAGUCUUUGGCAGAGGGAAUACAAAGCAAUGGAAGGGUGAUGUGAUGGCUCCGAAAGCUUCUGUUGGAUGUAGAAUAUAAAGUUUGCUCACCUUUUUUAAUCCAAAGAGAAAAACAAGGAGAGAAAAAUCUAAACCCAGCAGAAGAGAAAGUUUAAGAAAGCGGUCGUCGCCAAUACCAAAAUUAGCUAUGAUAUUCAGGAAGAAAAAAAUGGAAACACGAUAACCACAGUCAAUAAAGACCAAGGCCACAUUCCAUUGACCAGAGCUCAGCCACGCGCCACACCUGGCUAAAGAGACUCUGGCUGAAGAAUUCCCUGAAUAUUUUAAUGUAGCUCUAGGUUAUAACACAGAACAACCACAAGGUGGCAGAAGAACUCCAUUCUUGUAAAUCUCUUAGUUGCUUCUUUAUUUCAUCUUCCCUAUUCCAUCUAAUGUUCCCUGAAUUUUACUAUUUUGUUGGUUUGAAAAUAUGUGUGACUUACGUCCUUUAAAGGAUUUGGUUCGUAAGGUUUUGAAUAGACUGGAAUAUAAAACAUUUAUAGAAAAGAAAAAUACCUACAGUAUGAUGUUAGUGAACUAUUAAUAAUCCAAUUAAAUAAAAUAUAUUUGCUUUGGAUUAA
rnacentral:lncRNA from 1 species